GUGCCCAUGGGGACAUCACGAUGACUCAGACUCCGGGCUCCCUGGCUGGAUCUCCAGGUCAGCGGGUCACCAUGAACUACAGAGCCAGUCAGAGUGUUAGCAACGACAUAACCUGGUACCAGCAGACACCUGGGCAGUCUCCCAGGCUCCUCAUCUAUGGUGCAUCAAACAGGGCCACGGGCAUUCCAGACAGGUUCAGUGGCAGUGGGUCUAGAACAGACUUCACCCUCAGCAUCAGCAACCUCCAGGUCGAAGAUGUGGGGCACUAUUACUGUCAGCAGUAUGGAAGCAUGAGGGUCACCCCUGAGAGAACUCUCAACUUGGGAACAUUCUCUCACCUGGACCAUAAGAGCAGGAGCCUGAGGAUCUGGCACCAUCAGGCUGCCUCUCGCCCUCUCAAGGCUGCUCAGACCCUGUCCGUGGAAAAGACCCAGUGA